rnacentral:rRNA from 1 species
AACGAACGCUGGCGGCAGGCCUAACACAUGCAAGUCGAACGAACCUUCGGGUUAGUGGCGCACGGGUGCGUAACACGUGGGAAUAUACAUUUCGGUAAGGAAUAACACAGAGAAAUUUGUGCUAAUACCUUAUAAUGACUCCGGUCCAAAGAUUUAUCGCCGAAGGAUUAGCCCGCGCUAGAUUAGUUUGUUGGUGAGGUAAGAGCUCACCAAGACUACGAUCUAUAGCUGGUCUUAGAGGAUGACUCAGCCACACUGGAACUGAGACACGGUCCAGACUCCUACGGGAGGCAGCAGUGAGAAUAUGGACAAGUGGGGCAACCUGAUCCAGCCAUGCCGCGUGAAUGAAGAAGGCCUUAGGGUUAGUAAAAUUCUUCAGAUGCGAAGAUAAUGACGGUACCAUCAGAAGAAGCUCCGGACUAAAUUCGUGCCAGCAGCCG